AAAACAUGGUCUUUUGUUUAUAUAAAAGAUCUGGCCUGCCCAAUGAUUCUUUAAUGGCUGCAGUAUUUUGACUGUACAAAGGUAGCAUAAUCAUUUGUCUCUUAAUUGGAGUCUGGAAUGAAUGGUUGGAUGAAGGAUUUACUUUCUUUAUUUUAAAUAUAAAAUUUAAUUUUUGAAUCAAAAAGUUCAAAUGUUGAUAUAGGACGAGAAGACCCUAUAGAACUUUAUUUAUAAUAAAUAUUUACUAUUUUGUGAAUUAUGAUUAUAUAUUUAUAUAUAAAUUUUAUUGGGGUGAUAAAAAAAAUUUUUUAACUUUUUUUAUUUCUUUCAUUUAUAUAUGUAUUUUUGAUCCUUUACUAUGGAUUAUAAGAAUAAGUUACCUUAGGGAUAACAGCGUUAUUGUUUUAGAGAGUUCAUAUUGAUAAAAUAGUUUGCGACCUCGAUGUUGGAUUAAAAUUAGCUUCAGGGGCAGAAUAUUGAUGGCUAAGUCUGUUCGACUUUUAAAUUUUUACAUGAUCU
rnacentral:rRNA from 1 species